GCGUCCGUAGCUCAGUGGCAGAGCGGCGGCCUUCCAAGCCAAAGACCAGGGUUCGAUUCCCUGUGGACGCUCCA
rnacentral:tRNA from 1 species